ACUACCUUAGCUCAAGGAUUCAAAUCAUCCAGAAAACAACAGUCAGAUGGGGGAAAACUGUGGCUUAAGAGAAGUACCUGGACAAGGUCAUUGGUAGCUGUGCCACCUACACUCCCAUGUAACCUGGCA